rnacentral:rRNA from 1 species
GUCAACGGCCAUACCAAGUAGAAAAAAACCCGGUCUCUACAACUCCUGGCCGUUAAGCUGCGUCGGGUCCCGUUUGUAGUUAGGAGGGUGACCACUUGGGAAUACGGAAUGCUGUUGGCA